rnacentral:lncRNA from 13 species
GAAACAGUAAACCGAUAAUAAGGCCCACAGUAAAAGGGACUGUGAUAGCACAUUGUCUCAGGCUAUUCUAAACCCUUAACCUUUCUGAUCUCCCCAUCCCGGAUCCGGGUUUGUGAAUACAGACUCAAGCUCAUUACCAUAACGCAACGUUAACUAUUCAUGAAAAUCGCAAAUGAAAUGAAAUAAAUAUGCUAGCUCUCAAGCUUAGCCUUUUGUUAACAACACUGUCAUCUCAGAUUUUCAAAAUAUGCUUCUCAACCAUUGCAAAACAAGCAUUUGUGUAACAGUAUUGAUGGCUAACGUAGCAUUUAGCAUUAGCAUUCAGCUGGCAACAUUUACACAAAAAAACAGAAAAGCAUUCAAAAAAAUCAUUUACCUUUGAAGAACUUCAGAUGUUUUCAAUGAGGAGACUCUCAGAUAGCAAAUGUUCAGUUUUUCCUGAAAGAUUAUUUGUUUAGGACAAAUCGCUCCGUUUUCUGCGUCACGUUUAGCUAUGAAAAAAACCCUGUAUCCAGGAUUGUGUAAAUCUAUCAGCAAGCUCAUUAGCAUAACACAACGUUAACUAUUUAUGAAAAUCGCAAAUGAAAUGAAAUAAAUAUGCCAUCUCUCAAGCUUAGCCUUUUGUAAACAACACUGUCAUCUCAGAUUUUCAAAAUAUGCUUCUCAACCAUAGGAAAACAAUAAUUUGUGUAAAAGUAGCUAGCUAGAGUUAGCAUUUCGCGUUAGCAUUUAGCGUUAGCAUUAGCGUUAGCAUCCAGCACGCAACAUUAACAAAAACAUAAAAGCCUUCAAAUAAAAUCAUUUACCUUUGAAGAACUUCUGAUGUUUUCAAUGAGGAUACUCUCAGUUAGAUAGCAGAUGCUCACUUUUUCCAAAAAGAUUCCUUGUGUAUUAGAAAUAGCUCCGUUUUACAUCACAUUUGGCUACCAAAAAAAAUCUGAAAAUUCAGUCCUCAAAACGCGAACUUUUUUCCAAAUUAACUCCAUAAUAUCGACUGAAAACAUGGCAAACGUUGUUUAGAAUCAAUCAUCAAGGUGUUUUUCACAUAUCUCUUCAUUGAUACAUCGUUCUUGGACACAUGGUUUCUCCCCUAUAUCAAAUGGAAAAGUACGAGCAGCUGGCAAUUGCGCACCGAAUUCCACGCAGGACACCAGGCGGACACUUGGAAAAUGUAGUCUCUUAUGGUCAAUCUUCCAAUGAUAUGCCUACAAAUACGUCACAAUGCUGCUAAGACCUUGGGCGAACGACAGAAAGUGUAGGCUCAUUCCUUGCGCAAUCACAGCCAUAUAAGGAGACAAUGGAAAACAGAGCUUCAGAAAUUCUGCUAAUUCCUGGUUGAUGCAUCAUCUUGGUUUCGCCUGUAGAAUGAGUUCUGGGGCACUUACAGACAAAAUCUUUGCAGAUUCUGAAACUUCAGAGUGUUUUCUUUCCAAAACUGCAUAUAUAUAAAUAUGCAUAGUCGAGCAUCUUUUCGUGACAAAAUAUCGCGCUUAAAACGGGAACGUUUUUUAUCCAAAAAUGAAAUAGCGCCCCUAGAGAUCUAACAGGUUAACAAAAGGCUAAGCUUGAGAGCCAAUAUAUUUAUUUCAUUUCAUUUGCGAUUUUCAUGAAUAUUUAACGUUGCGUUAUGCUAAUGAGCUCGAGGCUAUACUUAAGAUCCCGGAUACGGGAUUGCUCGUCGCUAGAGGUUAAACAGGGUCCAACGAGGAUUAGCCAAGAUACAGUAAUCUGACAUUGUUUUUUUACUCUUUGUUUUACUCUUUGCAUUUUACUUCUUCACAGCAGAAUCUGUUGUGUGGGUGAUGCGUAAUGGAAUUAUUUUAAUAAUUAUGGUUGCGCAAUGACAGAUGUGGUGAUUAGGAUUGAGUUUGUUUAGUUAUUUAAAUGUCCAUGACAUCAUAACAGCACUCAACAUUUAAGGGCAUAUAAUGCAGUAUGAAUGAUAGAUUAUUCUCUUUUUGAUGUGGAUCAGAGAUUUAUGUCAAAUGGCAUUACCCAUCCAGCCAUACUAUCCACAAAUCAGCCAUUCAAUAUCCCAUGAUCGCCUAAUUUAAAUGUCACUGGUUUCCUAGUCUGGAAACACAGCAAAGAAAAAGCUACACUAAAAAACUCAUUGUUGUGUGCAUUCAACCAGAAAUAGAUGAAAGGCAAUGAAAAAUAAUCCUUGAGACCUUAUGAGACCUUUCUGAGACACUUGCUUCUCUUUAGCCUCAAAGUAGAAGAAACAAAAAAAAACAAGACAAAAUCAAAACAGUUUUGUGAAAAGACUUUUGUGUUAAAGUCAAAUGAAGGAGAACGACACAAUCCCUCUCAUGUACCUCAUUACUGGGAUCUGGAGGGUUCUUUACCCGACUUAGCUAGACCCAUCAGCU